rnacentral:rRNA from 1 species
GGUUUGUCGCGUUGUUCGUGAAAUCUCACGGCUUAACUGUGAGCGUGCGGGCGAUACUGGCAGACUUGAGUACUGCAGGGGAGACUGGAAUUCCUGGUGUAGCGGUGGAAUGCGCAGAUAUCAGGAGGAACACCGGUGGCGAAGGCGGGUCUCUGGGCAGUAACUGACGCUGAGGAGCGAAAGCGUGGGGAGCGAACAGGAUUAGAUACCCUGGUAGUCCACGCCGUAAACGGUGGGUACUAGGUGUGGGUUUCCUUCCUUGGGAUCCGUGCCGUAGCUAACGCAUUAAGUACCCCGCCUGGGGAGUACGGCCGCAAGGCUAAAACUCAAAGAAAUUGACGGGGGCCCGCACAAGCGGCGGAGCAUGUGGAUUAAUUCGAUGCAACGCGAAGAACCUUACCUGGGUUUGACAUGCACAGGACGCCGGCAGAGAUGUCGGUUCCCUUGUGGCCUGUGUGCAGGUGGUGCAUGGCUGUCGUCAGCUCGUGUCGUGAGAUGUUGGGUUAAGUCCCGCAACGAGCGCAACCCUUGUCUCAUGUUGCCAGCGGGUAAUGCCGGGGACUCGUGAGAGACUGCCGGGGUCAACUCGGAGGAAGGUGGGGAUGACGUCAAGUCAUCAUGCCCCUUAUGUCCAGGGCUUCACACAUGCUACAAUGGCCGGUACAAAGGGCUGCGAUGCCGCGAGGUUAAGCGAAUCCUUUUAAAGCCGGUCUCAGUUCGGAUCGGGGUCUGCAACUCGACCCCGUGAAGUCGGAGUCGCUA